rnacentral:rRNA from 1 species
UACGUAGGGGGCUAGCGUUGUCCGGAAUCAUUGGGCGUAAAGCGCGUGUAGGCGGCCCGAUAAGUCCGCUGUGAAAGUCCAGGGCUCAACCCUGGGAUGCCGGUGGAUACUGUCGGGCUCGAGUCCGGAAGAGGCGAGUGGAAUUCCGUGGUGUAGCGGUGAAAUGCGCAGAUAUCAGGAGGAACACCUGUGGUGUAGACAGCUUACUGGACCACUUCUGACGCUGAGACACGAAAGCGUGGGUAGCAAACAGG